rnacentral:lncRNA from 1 species
UCUCCGAUUGACUUAUUUCACUCAGCAUAAUACCCUUCAGUUCUAUCCACGUUGUAGCAAAUGGUGGGUAUUCGUCUUUUCUGACGGCUGAGUAAUAUCCCAUUGUGUAUAUACCACAUCUUCUUUAUCCAUUCAUCUGUUGAGGGACAUCAUGACUCCUUUCACAGUUGGCUAUUGUGGACCUUGCUGCUAUGAACAUUGAGGUGCAGGUGUCUUGGGUUUUUCACUGCAUCUGUAUCUUUGGGGUAAAUCCCCAGCAGUCCAAUUGGGUCGUAGGGUAGCUCUAUUUUUAACUCUUUGAGGAACCUCCACACAGUUUUCCAGAGUGGCUGCACCAGUUCACAUUCCCACCAAUAGUGCAAGAGGGUUCCCCUUUCUCCACAUCCUCUCCAACAUUUGUUAUUUCCUGUCUUGUUAAUUUUCCCCAUUCUCACUGGUGUGAGGUGGUAGCUCAUUGUGGUUUUGAUUUGUAUUUCCCUGAUGGCUAGUGAUGUGGAGCAUUAACUAUUUGUGAUUGAGGGAAGCUUACAGAAUAAUCCAGCCAGCAUCGUCACAACUGCGUCACUGACUCUGUGACAGAAGUGGUUUAGAAUCCAAGAAUGAGUCACAAGACCACGGUUUCAGUGAAUCUUGUUGGAGAAAUAGGGUAGGAGAGAAUCUGGAAAUUAAACAAAGAUUGGUAAUGAGAUAUCAGAGAGGCAGAGCAAUAUCGGAGCAGGUAAACUGAGCAGGGUUGAGACCUGCAGAGUGGUUGAUGUGGAACAAAAGCAAAGGAUUUAGGAGGUUGGUGAGAGACGCUCUGAAGUGAAGAACCAUGACAUGGAAGUUGAACUGGAUAGGAAGAGAGGAUCCCAGAGGGGACCUCAAAUUUGUGCUGAACCUCUGAGAGUGGUCAGAAUGGAGGCUGAGUGCAAGAGCAAUGCAG